rnacentral:rRNA from 1 species
GACGAACGCUGGCGGCACGUUUUAAGCAUGCAAGUCGAACGGCAGUGGGGGCAACCCCAUGAGAGUGGCGAACGGGUGAGUAACACGUAGGUGAUCUGCCUUUGGGUUGGGGAUAGCUUGUGGAAACACAGGGUAAUACCGAAUGAGCUGACGAGGCUUUGGCCAUGUUAGUAAAGGUGCUACGGCACCGCCUAGAGAGGAGCCUGCGGCUGAUUAGCUAGUUGGUGGGGUAAAGGCCUACCAAGGCGACGAUCAGUAGCCGGCCUGAGAGGGUGUACGGCCACACUGGAACUGAGACACGGUCCAGACUCCUACGGGAGGCAGCAGCUAAGAAUCUUCCGCAAUGGGCGAAAGCCUGACGGAGCGAUGCCGCGUGAUCGAUGAAGGUCGAGAGAUUGUAAAGAUCUUUUCCAACUGAGGAAUAAGUGGAUCAGGGAAUGGGUUCAUGAUGACGUUAAGAUGGGAAUAAGCCCCGGCUAAUUACGUGCCAGCCGCCGCGGUAA